GGAAAGGCGCGCGAUACAGGGUGACAGCCCCGUACACAAAAAUGCACAUGCUGUGAGCUCGAUGAGUAGGGCGGGACACGUGGUAUCCUGUCUGAAUAUGGGGGGACCAUCCUCCAAGGCUAAAUACUCCUGACUGACCGAUAGUGAACCAGUACCGUGAGGGAAAGGCGAAAAGAACCCCGGCGAGGGGAGUGAAAAAGAACCUGAAACCGUGUACGUACAAGCAGUGGGAGCACGCUUAGGCGUGUGACUGCGUACCUUUUGUAUAAUGGGUCAGCGACUUAUAUUCUGUAGCAAGGUUAACCGAAUAGGGGAGCCGAAGGGAAACCGAGUCUUAACUGGGCGUUAAGUUGCAGGGUAUAGACCCGAAACCCGGUGAUCUAGCCAUGGGCAGGUUGAAGGUUGGGUAACACUAACUGGAGGACCGAACCGACUAAUGUUGAAAAAUUAGCGGAUGACUUGUGGCUGGGGGUGAAAGGCCAAUCAAACCGGGAGAUAGCUGGUUCUCCCCGAAAGCUAUUUAGGUAGCGCCUCGUGAAUUCAUCUCCGGGGGUAGAGCACUGUUUCGGCAAGGGGGUCAUCCCGACUUACCAACCCGAUGCAAACUGCGAAUACCGGAGAAUGUUAUCACGGGAGACACACGGCGGGUGCUAACGUCCGUCGUGAAGAGGGAAACAACCCAGACCGCCAGCUAAGGUCCCAAAGUCAUGGUUAAGUGGGAAACGAUGUGGGAAGGCCCAGACAGCCAGGAUGUUGGCUUAGAAGCAGCCAUCAUUUAAAGAAAGCGUAAUAGCUCACUGGUCGAGUCGGCCUGCGCGGAAGAUGUAACGGGGCUAAACCAUGCACCGAAGCUGCGGCAGCGACGCUGAUGCGUUGUUGGGUA
rnacentral:rRNA from 3 species